UUUUUAUAUAAAGAUGAUUAUUUGUAUAAUCGAUAUAGCCGUUAGGUUCUGAGUCAUUCAAAAUUCUUCACUAGUUUCACAUACCCGCCAAACAUGCUUGCCAAAAGGACCCCACUUAAUCCUCCACACUCGAAACUCUCCUCUCUCUCUUCUUAUACCUUCCUCUCUCAAUCAUCAACCCAAAUAAAUCUCCCGCCAGAUGCGCACCUUAAAUUUCUCUGUCUCAACGGUCGACUAAAGGAAGCCCUUAUUGAAAUGUCCAUUCUUGGAACAGACGUGAGGUUUCGAGGCUAUGAUGCUCUUAUCACAGAGUGUGUUAACCGAAAAGCUUUAAGAGAAGGACAACUAGUCCAUUCUCACAUGAUCAAGACUCAUUACCGAGCACCAGUUUACCUGGAUACAAGGCUGCUGAUUAUGUAUGAUAAGUGUGGGAAGUUGGAUGAUGCACGGGAGGUGUUCGAUGGAAUGCCUCAAAGGAAUAUUGUUUCAUGGACGGCAAUGAUCUCAGCUUAUUCUCAGAGGGGGUUCCAGUCUCUGGCUUUUGGUCUCUUUCGAUGGAUUCUGAGAACAGGUUUGUUUCCAAAUGAGUUUACUUUGGCUACUGUGCUGGCUUCCUGCAUUGGCCAUCUUGGACUUGAGCAUGGAAGGCAAGUGCACUCUCUUGCUAUCAAAAACAAUUAUAAUUCACACGUAUAUGUUGGAAGCUCCCUUCUAAAUAUGUAUGCAAAGGCUAGUGAAAUCCAUGAUGCUAGAAUGGUCUUCGAGUUCCUCCCUGUAAGAGAUGUAGUUUCUUGCACUUCUAUUAUUUCUGGUUAUGCCCAAUUAAACCUUGAUAAUGAAGCCUUGGAAAUGUUUCGAAAGCUUUACAAUCAGGGAAUGGAAUGCAACUAUGUCACAUUUGCCAGUCUUCUCACUUCCUUGGCCGGGCUUUCGGCUUUGGAGUAUGGUAAGCAAGUUCAUGGUCUUGUUAUUAGACUCCAGCUUCCAUUUUAUAUUGUUUUGCAGAAUUCUAUGAUUUACAUGUAUGCAAAAUGUGGCAGUCUCUUGUAUGCUAGGAGAGUUUUUGACUACAUGCCUGAGAGAACUGUAAUUAGUUGGAAUGCAAUGCUGCUGGGAUAUGGCGACCAUGGUUUAGGGAGAGAGGUGCUCUGUUUAUUUAAGUCCAUGAGGGAUGUGAAAUCAGACGCUGUUACUUAUACGGCUGUUCUAUCAGGAUGCAGCCAUGGAGGAUUGACUGAGGAAGGUCUUGGAGUUUUUUAUAGCAUGGUUGGAGACAAGGAAAUGGAACCUGAAAUCGGGCACUAUGCAUGCGUCGUAGACCUGCUUGGGCGCGCGGGGAGAAUAGAAAAGGCUCUUGAGUUCAUCAGGAAUAUGCCAUUUGAACCGAGCAUCGCCAUGUGGGGUUCAUUGCUAGGUGCUUGUAGAGUCCAUGGAAAUGUCUCAGCUGGAGAAUAUGUUGCUCAAAGACUUCUUUCUAUGGAGCCAAAAAAUGCUGGAAACUAUGUAAUUCUUUCCAAUAUUUAUGCUGAUGCUGGAAGAUGGGAGGAUGUGGUGAAGGUGAGAGAAAUGAUGAAAGAGAAUACAGUAAUUAAGGAACCUGGGAAAAGUUCGAUCAAUCUAAAUAAGACUGUUCAUACUUUCCGCUCGGGCGAUCGCUCCCAUCCUCAGAAGGAUAAAGUAAAUGCGAAGGUUAGGGAGUUGUACGAGAAGAUUAGAGAGGUUGGCUAUACUCCAGACUUGAGUUGUGUAUUGCAUGAUGUGGAUGAUGAACAGAAGGAGAGAAUAUUGCUUGGCCAUAGUGAAAAACUUGCAAUAGCAUUUGGGCUGAUGUUUAGUUCACAAGGUGGGAUUCUCAGAGUAACAAAGAACCUUAGAAUUUGUGUUGAUUGCCACAAUUUCGCGAAGCUUGUGUCAAAGGUUACUAAAAGAGAAUUAUCAGUGAGGGAUAGUAAACGUUUUCACCUUAUGGCCAAUGGAACAUGCUCUUGUGGAGAUUUCUGGUGAUUGAGCUUUUGAUUGUUUAUGCUAAUAAAGCCUUGGUUUGUACCAUUGAAUUGGAUCUUACCAGAAAAAAGAAGCAACAAGGAAAAGUUUUGCUUAGCUCUAUCCCUCUGGCAAAGUAGUGAUGACUUCAAACUGGAUAUCUAAGAGACUUUGGCUUCUUUUGGGACAGCUUUUUUCUGUUUCUUAAAACAAUUUUCUAGUCUAAAAAUUUGAAUUUUUUAACUAAAAAGCUGCCUUAAAAGCAGUAAAAAAGUGGUCUCAAACAAAGCUUUUGUUCGACGCACAACCAUAUUUUUCUGUGUUGAUUAUAUCAUCAACUUUCCAGAGUUGAAAAGAGAAGAUAGAGAUAAAUAUAAAUAAGCAUGCCAACUAGACUUGUGACAGACAAGGAUACAUUUAUGAAGUGGCAUUUAAUUUGAGGCCAGUAUAUUCAUGGAUUAGGCUAUGGCAGGCCCAACGAAGACUACCAUGGACCUAGGGGAAGCCAUUGACGGGCACAAGCGGCGGCGGAGGCGAUCCCAACAAUGUG